CCUACGGGAGGCAGCAGUGGGGGAUAUUGCACAAUGGAGGAAACUCUGAUGCAGCGACGCCGCGUGAGGGAAGACGGUCUUCGGAUUGUAAACCUCUGUCUUUGGGGAAGAAAAUGACGGUAUCCAAAGAUGAAGCUCCGGCUAACUACGUGCCAGCAGCCGCGGUAAUAUGUAGGGAGCGAGCGUUGUCCGGAAUUACUGGGUGUAAAGGGGGCGUAGGCGGGCGAGAAAGUUGAAUGUUAAAUCUGCCGGCUAACCUGGUAGCUGCAUUCAAAACUUCUUGACUUGAGUGAAGUAGAGGCAGGCGGAAUUCCUAGUGUAGCGGUGAAAUGCGUAGAUAUUAGGAGGAACACCAGUGGCGAAGGCGGCCUGCUGGGCUUUAACUGACGCUGAGGCUCGAAAGCGUGGGGAGCAAACAGGAUUAGAUACCCCUGUAGUC
rnacentral:rRNA from 1 species